rnacentral:rRNA from 1 species
AGUGAACGCUGGCGGUAGGCCUAACACAUGCCAGUCGAACGGCAGCACAGUAAGAGCUUGCUCUUACGGGUGGCGAGUGGCGGACGGGUGAGGAAUACAUCGGAAUCUACUUUUUCGUGGGGGAUAACGUAGGGAAACUUACGCUAAUACCGCAUACGACCUACGGGUGAAAGCAGGGGAUCUUCGGACCUUGCGCGAUUGAAUGAGCCGAUGUCGGAUUAGCUAGUUGGCGGGGUAAAGGCCCACCAAGGCGACGAUCCGUAGCUGGUCUGAGAGGAUGAUCAGCCACACUGGAACUGAGACACGGCCCAGACUCCUACGGGAGGCAGCAGUGGGGAAUAUUGGACAAUGGGCGCAAGCCUGAUCCAGCCAUACCGCGUGGGUGAAGAAGGCCUUCGGGUUGUAAAGCCCUUUUGUUGGGAAAGAAAAGCAGCAGGUUAAUACCCCGCUGUUCUGACGGUACCCAAAGAAUAAGCACCGGCUAACUUCGUG